AUUUCCUACGGGGGGCAGCAGUAGGGAAUAUUGCUCAAGGGGGGAAACCCUGAAGCAGCAACGCCGCGUGGAGGAUGAAGGUUUUCGGAUUGUAAACUCCUUUUGUUAGAGAAGAUAAUGACGGUAUCUAACGAAUAAGCACCGGCUAACUCCGUGUCAGCAGCCGUGGUAAUACGGAGGGUGCAAGCGUUACUCGGAAUCACUGGGCGUAAAGAGCGCGUAGGCGGGAUAGCAAGUCAAAUGUGAAAUCCUAUGGCUUAACCAUAGAACUGCAUUUGAAAAUGUUA
rnacentral:rRNA from 1 species